GAUGAAGAACGUAGCGAAAUGCGAUACUUGGUGUGAAUUGCAGAAUCCCGUGAACCAUCGAGUCUUUGAACGCAAGUUGCGCCCGAAGCCAUUAGGCCGAGGGCACGCCUGCCUGGGCGUCACACGUCGUUGCCCCCCCAUCUACUCCUUCGGGAUUGCGGGGGGCGGAUGAUGGCCUCCCGUGCGCCUCGCCGCGCGGUUGGCAUAAAUGCCAAGUCCUCGGCGACGCACGCCACGACAAUCGGUGGUUGCGAAACCUCGGUUGCCCGUCGUGUGCGGUCGUCGCGCAUCGAGGGCUCGAAAAAAUUGCCGGGUUCCGGCUCGGCUUUCAACGCGAACCCAGGUCAGGCGGGGUUACCCGCUGAAUUUAAGCAUAUCAAUAAGCGGAGGA
rnacentral:misc_RNA from 1 species